UCUGCAAAUGAUAUGGUUGCGG
rnacentral:snRNA from 1 species